CUGAUUAUGAGUCUUAUGUGUCUGAGACUCUAUGAUUGAGAAUUAGGAUUCUCUGAUCAUGAGUUCUACACAUUUUGGGUACCAGGGUCAAAAUUUUGAAUUUGAAAUUUGAACUCUUCGAUCAAGGUUUCAUAUUGAUGGACUUUGAUACCCGAUUGCCCAUCGGAUUUGGACUCAAUAAUUAUGAGAGGUUUUAUUAGUGAUUUGAUCGCUAAUUAACUCAAUUCGAUUGAGUAAUUAUUUUUGGAUCAAGUCCAAUUGAAUUAGAUUCAGUUGGGUUUGAUCCGAUUAGGUUAAGAGUUGACCUAAUCGUCGAGAUGGUUUGGUCCC
rnacentral:lncRNA from 1 species